GCGAGGGUUUCAGAGCUUGGCCAAAUGAGCCGGACUUAAGAUCCGGUCCCGCAGGGGUCCGAGGGUUCAAAUCCCUUCCCUCGCA
rnacentral:tRNA from 1 species